rnacentral:rRNA from 1 species
GACGAACGCUGGCGGCGUGCUUAACACAUGCAAGUCGAACGGAAAGGCCCUGCUUUUGUGGGGUGCUCGAGUGGCGAACGGGUGAGUAACACGUGAGUAACCUGCCCUUGACUUUGGGAUAACUUCAGGAAACUGGGGCUAAUACCGGAUAGGAGCUCCUGCUGCAUGGUGGGGGUUGGACAGUUUCGGCGGUUGGGGAUGGACUCGCGGCUUAUCAGCUUGUUGGUGGGGUACUGGCUUACCCAGGCUUUGGCGGGUAGCCGGCCUGAGAGGGUGACCGGCCACAUUGGGACUGCGGUACGGCGCAGACUCCUACGGGGGGCAGCAGUGGGGAAUAUUGCACAAUGGGCGGAAGCCUGAUGCAGCAACGCCGGGUGCGGGAUGACGGCCUUCGGGUUGUAAACCGCUUUCGCCUGUGACGAAGCGUGAGUGACGGUAAUGGGUAAAGAAGCACCGGCUAACUACGUG